CAUGGGCUGUUGUGCUGGAGAGAACGAGAGCUACGAAGAGACUACAGUGCCUCUGACUUUUUCAUAGGACAGUUGGCCGAGGAAGACAAACAUAAAGAUGAAGUGCUUAAUUCAAGGUCACACAAUGUCGGGGAUGGACCUCCAGAUUUCCUUACUGGAAAACAAGCUCAGGGCUCCCACUGAUUGUACAUUAUGAGACGGAGUCUUGCUAUGUUGCCCAGGCUGGUCUUGAACUCCUCACCUCAAGCGAUCCUCCCGUCUUGGCCUCCCAAGUGUCAGGAUUACGGGCAUGUGCUAUCACACCCAACCUGAUACAUUGCCUUUAUAAAUUUUUUUUUCUUUAUUCUAAAAACCAGAAAAAACAAAACUGGAUACAUGUGCAGAACAUGCAGCAGGGAAUUUCUUCCACUUGCAGACCAAGUGUGUUGGGGACUUGAGAUGCGUACAUGAGUGUGAUGUUUCCUGCUGAAAGCACAGGUGAGACGUGGUCUUGUAACACAGUGGUUA
rnacentral:lncRNA from 1 species